GGCGCUGUAUCUUAGCUGGUCAAAAUGCCUUGUAAACAGGAGAUCCUGGGCUCAAAUCCCAUCAGCGCCU
rfam:Danio rerio chromosome 4, GRCz11 reference primary assembly.